rnacentral:lncRNA from 1 species
CGGAGGUCGAACCGGUGUGGCUACUGGUUCAAGGGUCAACCGGUCGGACCGGUUCAAUCGUUAUUAAACCGUUUAUAUUGAACCGUUUAUAUAACUUUCUUAUUUCACAACUAAUAAACAAAUUAAUAAAGUAACAUUAACAAAAUAGAAAAUUUAGAAACUUAAAAUAAAGAAAUCAUAAAUCCAAAAUGCAUAAUUUAUACCAAAUAAUUAUACAUAAAUUCGAAAUUCAUAAUUCAUAUAAAUUGUUAAACUUUAAAUUGGACAAAAUCAUAUAAACUUUACAUAAUUAUAUAAACUUAAAAUUGUUCGUUAAGAAUUAAGAAUAUAUUAUACAAUUAAGGCAAAUAUCAAGAUAUCAAUGAAUGCAUAUUAAUGCAUAUCAAUAAGGUAGACAUGUAAACAAUGCUGGUCAAUG